rnacentral:Y_RNA from 1 species
GGCUGGUUCAAGUGCAGUGAUGUUUACAACUCAUUGAUCACAACCAAUUAUGGAUUUGUUCCUUCUCCACUCCCACUGCUUCACUUGACUAGCCUUAA